UACGUAGGGGGCGAGCGUUGUCCGGAUUUAUUGGGCGUAAAGGGCGCGCAGGCGGUUUGUUAAGUCUGGUGUGAAAGCUCCCGGCUCACCUGGGAGAGGGCACUGGAGACUGGCAGACUGGAGCGAGGCAGAGGCCGGUGGAAUUCCCGGUGUAGUGGUGAAAUGCGUAGAGAUCGGGAGGAACACCAGUGGCGAAGGCGGCCGGCUGGGCCUUGACUGACGCUGAGGCGCGAAAGCGUGGGGAGCGAGCCGG
rnacentral:rRNA from 1 species